GGAGAGGUGGCCGAGAGGCUUAUGGCGGCGGUUUGCUAAACCGUUAUACGUUUUCAGCGUAUCGAGGGUUCGAAUCCCUUCCUUUCCG
rnacentral:tRNA from 1 species